rnacentral:rRNA from 1 species
UUCCGUAGGGUNACCUGCGGAGGGAUCAUUACACAAAUAUGAAGGCGGGCUGGAACCUCUCGGGGUUACAGCCUUGCUGAAUUAUUCACCCUUGUCUUUUGCGUACUUCUUGUUUCCUUGGUGGGUUCGCCCACCACUAGGACAAACAUAAACCUUUUGUAAUUGCAAUCAGCGUCAGUAACAAAUUAAUAAUUACAACUUUCAACAACGGAUCUCUUGGUUCUGGCAUCGAUGAAGAACGCAGCGAAAUGCGAUAAGUAGUGUGAAUUGCAGAAUUCAGUGAAUCAUCGAAUCUUUGAACGCACAUUGCGCCCUUUGGUAUUCCAAAGGGCAUGCCUGUUCGAGCGUCAUUUGUACCCUCAAGCUUUGCUUGGUGUUGGGCGUCUUGUCUCUAGCUUUGCUGGAGACUCGCCUUAAAGUAAUUGGCAGCCGGCCUACUGGUUUCGGAGCGCAGCACAAGUCGCACUCUCUAUCAGCAAAGGUCUAGCAUCCAUUAAGCCUUUUUUUCAACUUUUGACCUCGGAUCAGGUAGGGAUACCCGCUGAACUUAAGCAUAUCAAUAAGCCGGAGGA